rnacentral:rRNA from 1 species
GACGAACGCUGGCGGCGUGCUUAACACAUGCAAGUCGAACGAUGAAGCCCAGCUUGCUGGGUGGAAGAGUGGCGAACGGGUGAGUAACACGUGAGUAACCUGCCCCUGACUCUGGGAUAAGCGCUAGAAAUGGAGUCUAAUACUGGAUAUGACCUAUCACCGCAUGGUGUGUAGGUGGAAAGAUUUAUGGGUUGGGGAUGGACUCGCGGCCUAUCAGCUUGUUGGUGAGAUAAUGGCUCACCAAGGAGACGACGGGUAGCCGGCCUGAGAGGGUGACCGGCCACACUGGGACUGCGACACGGCCCAGACUCCUACGGGAGGCAGCAGUGGGGAAUAUUGCACAAUGGGCGCAAGCCUGAUGCAGCAACGCCGCGUGAGGGAUGACGGCCUUCGGGUUGUAAACCUCUUUUAGUAGGGAAGAAGCGCAAGUGACGGUACCUGCAGAAAAAGCACCGGCUAACUACGUGCCAGCCGCCGCGGUAA